rnacentral:rRNA from 1 species
GAUGAACGCUGGCGGCGUGCCUAAUACAUGCAAGUCGAGCGAACGGACGAGAAGCUUGCUUCUCUGAUGUUAGCGGCGGACGGGUGAGUAACACGUGGAUAACCUACCUAUAAGACUGGGAUAACUUCGGGAAACCGGAGCUAAUACCGGAUAAUAUUUUGAACCGCAUGGUUCAAAAGUGAAAGACGGUCUUGCUGUCACUUAUAGAUGGAUCCGCGCUGCAUUAGCUAGUUGGUAAGGUAACGGCUUACCAAGGCAACGAUGCAUAGCCGACCUGAGAGGGUGAUCGGCCACACUGGAACUGAGACACUGUCCAGACUCCUACGGGAGGCAGCAGUAGGGAAUCUUCCGCAAUGGGCGAAAGCCUGACGGAGCAACGCCGCGUGAGUGAUGAAGGUCUUCGGAUCGUAAAACUCUGUUAUUAGGGAAGAACAUAUGUGUAAGUAACUGUGCACAUCUUGACGGUACCUAAUCAGAAAGCCACGGCUAACUACGUG